GAGCGAGCGGGAAGAGCUCAAAUUUAUAAUCUGGCACCUUCGGUGUCCGAGUUGUAAUCUCUAGAAGUGUUUUCCGCGUUGGACCGCACACAAGUCUGUUGGAAUACAGCGGCAUAGUGGUGAAACCCCCGUAUAUGGUGCGGACGCCCAGCGCUUUGUGAUACACUUUCAAUGAGUCGAGUUGUUUGGGAAUGCAGCUCAAAUUGGGUGGUAAAUUCCAUCUAAAGCUAAAUAUUGGCGAGAGACCGAUAGCGAACAAGUACCGUGAGGGAAAGAUGAAAAGCACUUUGGAAAGAGAGUUAACAGUACGUGAAAUUGUUGGAAGGGAAACGCUUGAAGUCAGACUUGCUUGCCGGAGCUUGCUUCGGUUUGCAGGCCAGCAUCAGUUUUCCGGGGUGGAUAAUGACGGWUUGAAGGUAGCAGUCUCGGCUGUGUUAUAGCUUUCCGUUGGAUUCUUCCUGGGGGACUGAGGAACGCAGCGWGCUUUUUGCGAAAGACUCGUCUUUUUCACGCUUAGGAUGCUGUUGGAAUGGCUUUAAACGACCCGUCUUGAAACAUUGACCAU
rnacentral:rRNA from 1 species